CAACGAAUAUUCCGCAAUGGGCGCAAGCCUGACGGAGCGACGCCGCGUGAAGGAUGAAGUCCUUCGGGAUGUAAACUUCAAUAGUUUGCUAGGAACCAAAUUGGAUUAAUACGCUAGUUUGUUGACCAACAAAUGAAAGGGGUGGCUAACUUCGUGCCAGCAGCCGCGGUAAGACGGGGACCCCUAGCGUUGUUCGGAAUCACUGGGCUUAAAGCGCGUGUAGGCGGAUUGGCAAGUACUUUGUGAAAGCCCCGGCUUCAACCCGGGAAUUGCUCGGUAUACUGCCAGUCUUGAGGCAGGUAGGGGUUACUGGAACCUUAGGUGGAGCGGUGAAAUGCGUAGAUAUCUAAGGGAACGCCUGUGGCGAAAGCGGGUAACUGGGCCUGUCCUGACGCUGAGACGCGAAAGCGUAGGGAGCAAACG
rnacentral:rRNA from 1 species